rnacentral:rRNA from 1 species
CCUACGGGAGGCAGCAGUGAGGAAUAUUGGUCAAUGGCCGGAAGGCUGAACCAGCCAAGCCGCGUGAAGGACGAAGGUGCCAAGCAUUGUAAACUUCUUUUGUCAGGGGACAAAAUCAGGCUCGAGAGCCUGACCGUGGGUACUUGAAGAAAAAGCAUCAGCUAACUCCGUGCCAGCAGCCGCGGUAAUACGGAGGAUGCGAGCGUUAUCCGGAUUUAUUGGGUUUAAAGGGUGCGUAGGGGGGCUGUUAAGUCAGCGGUAAAAGCCCGGGGCUCAACCACGGCGAGCCGUUGAAACUGGGUGUCUUGAGAUGUCGAGAGGUAUGCGGAAUGCGCAGUGUAGCGGUGAAAUGCUUAGAUAUUGCGCAGAACUCCGAUUGCGAAGGCAGCAUACCGGCGGCGAUCUGACGCUGAGGCACGAAAGCGUGGGUAUCGAACAGGAUUAGAUACCCUUGUAGUC